AGAGUUUGAUCCUGGCUCAGGAUGAACGCUGGCGGCGCGCCUAACACAUGCAAGUCGAACGAUUAAAGCACCUUCGGGUGUGUAUAAAGUGGCGAACGGCUGAGUAACACGUGGGCAACCUGCCCCUUUCAUUGGGAUAGCCACGGGAAACCGUGGAUAAUACCGAAUACUUCGAGACUUCCGCAUGGAAGACUCGAGAAAGCUCCGGCGGAGAGGGAUGGGCCCGCGGCCUGUUAGCUUGUUGGUGGGGUAACGGCCUACCAAGGCAAUGAUGGGUAGCUGGGUUGAGAGACCGACCAGCCAGAUUGGGACUGAGACACGGCCCAGACUCCUACGGGAGGCAGCAGUGGGGAAUCUUGCACAAUGGGCGAAAGCCUGAUGCAGCGACGCCGCGUGCGGGAUGAAGGCCUUCGGGUUGUAAACCGCUUUCAGCAGGGACGAGGCGAAAGUGACGGUACCUGCAGAAGAAGCCCCGGCUAACUACGUGCCAGCAGCCGCGGUAAUACGUAGGGGGCAAGCGUUAUCCGGAUUCAUUGGGCGUAAAGCGCUCGUAGGCGGUCUGUUAGGUCGGGAGUUAAAUCCGGGGGCUCAACCCCCGCUCGCUCUCGAUACCGGCAGACUUGAGUUUGGUAGGGGAAGGUGGAAUUCCUAGUGUAGCGGUGGAAUGCGCAGAUAUUAGGAAGAACACCAGUGGCGAAGGCGGCCUUCUGGGCCAUAACUGACGCUGAGGAGCGAAAGCUAGGGGAGCAAACAGGAUUAGAUACCCUGGUAGUCCUAGCCGUAAACGAUGGACACUAAGUGCUGGGGGAGUAUUUCUUCCGUGCCGCAGCUAACGCAUUAA
rnacentral:rRNA from 1 species